ensembl:lncRNA
CGAGGGUUUAGCCUUGAGGGCGGGCAUUUAGAGGGCUUGGUGACUUGGCUAAAGAGGUCCGGUCGAAGGGGCGGAUCUCCAUCAAUGUAUCAGUGUGUCUUGAAGGAAUUAAUGAUGGGAAAAAGCAGAGAAGGAACAGCAGCUGCAGCAAAAUUCCCCACUACAUCUUCCAGUGAUUGAUGGCAUGUUCUUCAAACUUGAUUAUAUGUAAAAGACUCAGGGCCUUGAAACCUACCAUCACCGCACCCCUUAUCUUCACCCCACCCCUCAUCAUGAAGCACCUUCCAGUGCUCUCUUGAUGUUUGGACCUUCACCAUCUUUAAAGCAAAACAGACCUUCAUUUGUACUUGUCAACCUCAGAGCGGUCCUUGUGGCAGAGAGAGUGGGAUGGCUGCUUCCUCCCUGACCUCAAGAACAAAGGAUCUGCUACCAAGAAGUUUACAACAGCUAAUUAUGCCCCUCUCUCACUUUUUCUAUGAAAGAGAUUUGCUGACAGCUUUUAGGAGUUUGGAGUUUUUAAGGCAUGAGCCUUCCAUCUCCUUUCAUGCCCCCACAGUAAACCCUUGUUCCCAACGCUGACGACGUUUUGGUGUUGUUUUGCCUCACUAUGUGUUAGGCACAUGGACUCUUGUUUGGCAACAAAAACACUUGAAGGUAGGAAUAGGGUUGGGCAUACAGCCUACAUCACAUAGACAUUUGGCUGAAGUUUGUAAAAUGUGGCCACUAGUCCCUAGUUUUCCACAUUAACAGGGGAUUGCACAAACCAUGGACUGUCUCAAUGUUCCUUAACAUUGUUCUUUGUUGGCUUUAGAACAUAUAGUCAGUCAUGGGUAGCAAAGAAUUUGACCUUCUUCAACCUCAAGACCCUUGUUAGGUCAUCCUUGACUUAAAGGUUCUAGUUGGCAGAUGAAUGGACAGCAAGAGGAACGAGGUCUCAGAUACCAGUGGCUACCCAGAAGAGCCUGUUUCCAGAAAGAGGUAAAGGGCUGCCAUGCAUGACCCUUCUCCUUCCCUUCCCCCAACCCCACCUACCACAAGGCUUGCAAAAGAGAGUUGGACUUAGUAAGCCCACCCCUAGUGGAUCCUGUCUCCUGUUUGAUGAACCACAUGAAGUUGCCGCUAUCUGACUGUUUUUUUACCUGCCAAAACAGCAGUUUCAUAUGGUUCAGCCUAAAUAUAUCUGAGAAUAAACAAAAAAAAUUCUGUAAAUGACUGAAGAGCUUGGGAACAACCAACCCAGUCAUCAAGGUGACUGAUUUCAGGAGAAGGACUGGACUGUGAUGAUAAUUGAAUAAUCAGCAAUCUCACUGUAUUCUGUGGAGAAUGCAUGAAACAAAGAUAAAGAAUGAGGCUGGCAAACAGAAAGAGGAAGGAAAAAGAAGUAGGAUAAAGCCAGGAGGCUAGAAGUUGGCAUUUAUUACCUGUAACUGCCCAGGAAAGAGCAAUAUGAAACCGGAGCUCACACAGUGCCCUGCUGUGAGGUGGAGAUGACUUGCCAAGGCCCACCCUGCCUUGGGUGAAAUCCUUCCUUCACUCAAGAACCAGCAUGCUGAUGACUGAUUUGGCUCCCUGGGAUUGUUGAUAUCAGAAAAAGGGUGCUCUGGUUGAGGGAGGAGCCAUCCAGUUAUGGAAGGACUAACACCAGCUGUUAAUGAAUACAUGAGUAUCUGGUUAUAUACAUCAGCCUCCCAUGAGUUGGAUUGCUGGGAGUUAGUCUUCUUUAGGCAGACAAAUCUCAGACUUGACUAUGAAACAGGUUCAGCUCUAUGGUAAACUCAUCAAGGUAAAACUAUCCUGGGUGGCCUCUUUGGCAGCUAGUCAGAUGACUCUAGCACAAAGCAAAACCUUCUGACCCAAAUCAUCUUUAUCACAGAGUGCAAGGGAUAUAAUUAUAUUGGCAAGGUACCAUUAUCCUAUCCCUGACCCUAGCUCUAGUCCUAAUCCUACUUCAUGACCUAACAGGUAGAUGCAAAAUUGUCUGGCAUUGUAUGCUUCUGAAUCCGAGCCAGCCCAGUCCUGGUUACCAGGUCAGUAGGUCAAUAGUCGGAGAAGGCAAUGGCACCCCACUCCAGUACUCUUGCCUGGAAAAUCCCAUGGAUGGAGGAGCCUGGUGGGCUACAGUCCAUGGGGUCGCACAGAGUUGGACACGACUGAGUGACUUCACUUUCACUUUUCACUUUCAUGCAUUGGAGAAGGAAAUGGCAACCCACUCCAGUGUUCUUGCCUGGAGAAUCCCAGGGACGGGGGAGCCUGGUGGGCUGCCAUCUAGGGGGUCACACAGAGUCGGACACAACUGAAGCAACUUAGCAGCAGCAGCAGCAGGUCAAUAGUAUUCUCUUCCUACUUGGGCUAACAAGCAAGAAAGAGUGAGGUGUAGGGAGCAUAGAGAGAGCUUCCCAUGUUGAAGGCAAGUCUUUUACAUUCUCCCAAGCACCAUGCUCUUUACUUCACAGUCAAGUGUCUGUUUUCUAGACCUUGAUUGAAAUCAAAACUCUGCCUCUUCCUAGCAAGUCACUUAUCUCUGCAUCUCAGGUUUUUUUUUUUAAAAUCUUACCUUACGAGUAAGGAUGAUAAACACACCUGCCUUGCUGAGCUGUGAGGACUCAGUGUAAGGAUGGACUUGAAGACCACCUGGCUCAGUAUCUGACAAUCAUCUCAGUUAAUAUUAUUUUUAUUAGUUUUUUGGCUGCGCUGGGUCUUCAUUGCUGUGUGCAGGUUUUCUCUAGUCGUUGUGUGAGGGCUUCUCAUUGCUGUGACUUCUGUUGCAGAGCAGGAGCUCUAGAGCACAGGCUCAGUAGUUGCAUCACACGGGUUUAGUUGCCCCACGGCAUGUGGAAUCUUCCUGGACCAGGGAUCAAACCUUUGUUCCCUGCAUUGGCGGGUGGAGUCAGUCUUAACCAGUGGAUUACCAGCAAAGUCCAAAUUGUUAUUAUUAAUAGCACUUAUGUACUAAGGCAUAGAAUAUCGUUUAUAGUUACAUGAGGGGUUUUGGUGACUGUUCCUUUAUCUGUUCUCUCUGACCCUGCUGUCGUAACUGGGUGUUCAGCACCUGCUGAGUGGCACUAGCCCCAUAGUAAACAAUCACUAAACAUUUGUUGACAAUUAAAAGGAUCAUUUAAAAAACAGUGAAAAAACUAAAGUUUCAUGAUGUGUAUUUGUAGUUACUAAAUAUGAAAUCACUUAGUACUUUUGUAAUAGGAGGGAAAGGAGCAGCUCACAACUUUUGAAAGAAUGACAUAGCCCAAGGACACAACAUAAAACGAUUAAGAUCAAAUGGGACCACAAUGGCAGACAAGACUAGACCUUGAUCCUCAAUCAGCAAGUGAAAUGACACACCCAAAGGUCCAUGACAGUUCCAAGGCACUGCUAAAAGACCAAGGAGUGGGUAGUGGCCCGAAUCCUGGAAAUCUCUGCCCCUUCCCCAAAAUAGUUGGAAUAAUCCUCCCAUUCAAUAACAUAUGAAAUUACCCAGCUUAUAUAAAAACUAACCAUGCCAUAUUUUGUGGUCACACUCACCCUCUGAGAUGGUGCAAACACUGUCUGUGGAGUGUGCUUCUCUCUGAAUGUGAAUAAAUCCACUUCUUA